UCCAAUGGUGCCAUACCACUCCACCUUAUGGUUUGGCAUACAUUCAAAAAGGAGGAACCAAACCGGAGACUCCCGGUGCGGCAGUGUGGAGACCUGUCGUAAUGGAACGCACUCCCUGCGGGUGGUUCCGAGGUAGGUGCAGCGGAGGCUCAUCUAUCAGAGUCGAAGUUAUGUCC
rnacentral:ncRNA from 1 species